GCAAAAGCUCAAAACCAUCAUAAAGAUUUUAAAUAAUAAUAAUCAGGGUAGCAGAGCGGGGAAAAGGGGAAAAAGACGCAGAAAAUCAUAUAAGCUAGUUACGAAACUUUACCAUAGCGAUUCAAACCCUGAUCAAAUCCAAAACCUGAAAUUGAAAAAACCUUCAAAAUUUCAUCUAUAAUUAUUAAUUAAAGCUCUGUUCUAAUUGCACUUGAAGACAAACAAUCAUAAGCAGGUAAUCUGGACAAUAUCAACACAACUAACGCACAAAUAUUCAUGUGCUGGAAAUACAAUGAUUUAAGGGAAAACCCUAAAACCCAUUUCAUUCUAUCCUGAAAUCUUACAUAUAAAAAGUAAGAAAUAAAAUUUGUGGGGAAAUUGAGCUUACUGAGUCCGGAGAUGGAGAAUUCGGAUCGGAUCUUUAAGAAGAUCGCAGAGUGAGUGAUCUGAGUCGACGAUGAAAAAGAUCACGGCUAGAGUUAACCCUUCCUUGACAGGUCACCACUGGUACUUCUUUUUUAAGACAAAAAUAUUUUUAAAGGUCUGUUUAGAGCCAUGAGGUAAAAAGACGCAAGAUAUACAUUUUAAAU
rnacentral:lncRNA from 1 species